rnacentral:tRNA from 1 species
ACUUAUUAAAUAUAUUAAGUAUAUUUAACUUCCAAUUAAAAAGACUGCACAAAUGUUAGCAGAAUAAGUA